UGGGGAAUUUUGGACAAUGGGGGAAACCCUGAUCCAGCCAUCCCGCGUGUGCGAUGAAGGCCUUCAGGUUGUAAAGCACUUUUGGCAGGAAAGAAACGUCGCGGGUUAAUACCCCGCGAAACUGACGGUACCUGCAGAAUAAGCACCGGCUAACUACGUGCCAGCAGCCGCGGUAAUACGUAGGGUGCAAGCGUUAAUCGGAAUUACUGGGGCGUAAAGCGUGCGCAGGCGGUUCGGAAAGAAAGAUGUGAAAUCCCAGAGCUUAACUUUGGAACUGCAUUUUUAACUACCGGGCUAGAGUGUGUCAGAGGGAGGUGGAAUUCCGCGUGUAGCAGUGAAAUGCGUAGAUAUGCGGAGGAACACCGAUGGCGAAGGCAGCCUCCUGGGAUAACACUGACGCUCAUGCACGAAGGCGUGGGGGAGCAAACAGGAUUAGAUACCCUGGUAGUCCACGCCCUAAACGAUGUCAACUAGCUGUUGGGGCCUUCGGGCCUUGGUAGCGCAGCUAACGCGUGAAGUUGACCGCCUGGGGAGUACGGUCGCAAG
rnacentral:rRNA from 1 species